rnacentral:lncRNA from 1 species
GUCGUUGCCUAAGAUGGACAACACAAGAAUGGAGCAGCUUCUCCUGGGAGUGAGGGCUAGCUCAGAUUUCCUCCCCAUGAACUCUCCCAACACCUGCCUGGCAAGUUCUAACUGCUGCUACUGUUCCCAGACAGAUUAAAAAACAGAAACUUUGAGGUUCACAGCUAAGUGACAAGCGUCUCUCUGAGGAGAUCAACAACAGCACAUUCAUCAAAAGAGCUGCAGUAGGAUCCCAGGAGACAAUGGAAGGCUGGGACCAGGGGAGCCAGGCUAAAGAUCAGCCUCCAUGGCUCCUGGGUAAUUGGCCUCCCCAUCUCUCCAAAGGGAGCUCUUAACCGAUGCAGAU